rnacentral:rRNA from 1 species
UAGGCCUGGUUAGGAGGGUUUUCCAGCCCUUUAGUGCUGAAGUUAACGCAUUAAGCACUCCGCCUGGGGAGUACGGCCGCAAGGCUGAAACUCAAAGGAAUUGACGGGGGCCCGCACAAGCGGGGGAGCAUGUGGUUUAAUUCAAAGCAACGCGAAAAACCUUACCAGGUCUUGACAUCCUCUGAAAACCCUAGAGAUAGGGCUUCUCCUUCGGGAGCAGAGUGACAGGUGGUGCAUGGUUGUCGUCAGCUCGUGUCGUGAGAUGUUGGGUUAAGUCCCGCAACGAGCGCAACCCUUGAUCUUAGUUGCCAUCAUUAAGUUGGGCACUCUAAGGUGACUGCCGGUGACAAACCGGAGGAAGGUGGGGAUGACGUCAAAUCAUCAUGCCCCUUAUGACCUGGGCUACACACGUGCUACAAUGGACGGUACAAAGAGCUGCAAGACCGCGAGGUGGAGCUAAUCUCAUAAAACCGUUCUCAGUUCGGAUUGUAGGCUGCAACUCGCCUACAUGAAGCUGGAAUCGCUAGUAAUCGCGGAUCAGCAUGCCGCGGUGAAUACGUUCCCGGGCCUUGUACACACCGCCCGUCACACCACGAGAGUUUGUAACACCCGAAGUCGGUGGGGUAACCUUUUUGGAGCCAGCCGCCUAAGGUGGGACAGAUGAUUGGGGUGAAGUCGUAACAAGGUAACCGUAAAAAUUAUAAGUUACCUUUACAAUUAACAAAUGUUACGUCU